rnacentral:lncRNA from 1 species
UUGUCCUCCAUCAAGUAGAGAUUUUCCAUUCACGUUGAGGGUUUGUUGAGAUUUCAUGCCCAUGUUAGUCGACGGUCACUUUAUCUCUUCUGCAAUGUGGCAACCUGCAGAUUGUAUGGUGAAUGCUCUUGUCGAGAGAAAUGAUCUCAAUGUUGGUUUCUCCCUUGCAUGUUUGAAUUUUGAUCAGGCCAUACCUGAGUUUAACAGAGCCUUCUUUAUGUUCAUAUUUAAGUAACAAAAUAUAAUUGUGUAACAAAACAUCAUUGUACAGACUUGCAAUCCUCUAGGAAUUUCUUGGUAAGUAGGGGUUUUAUUUGUUUACAAUGGAUAUAUUAUAUGAAGGAACGGAAACCUCAGGAUGCUUCAAGCUAAUUUUUCUAGCAGGCGGAAAGGCUUAGUAGUUAUGUUAUGUUUAUGCACACACGCAGACAGAAGAAUGAGGAUGAAAGAUUAAAGACACACUAUCAUUCUAGGUUAACAUUAUUUGGUGAACUAAAAGUGUUUUUUUCCUUCAUUGUUGCCUGGUCAUCUUACAUUCAUGAACACGUCUGAGUUGAAAUUAGCACGUUUGAGGGGCCUGAAUGAUGUAUUACAAACAGUAUGCAAGCUUCAGAUGGAUGUCUGGCAAAUCAACCCAUUUGUUAGUGUGUAACACAUGAAAAGAUGAAAAGCUGUACCAUUAGAGGAUCUUUUGAUGGGGAACUGGUUAGGUUAUUAUGAUCAUCUGUAAUGUGUGAUGGAGGUUUUCUUGAUUUGAAGGAUUGAAGAAAAUUGAAACAAAAUAGGAAGAGGUUAGCAAUACAAGAUUGGGAAAAAGGUAAGGCAGGACUUGGAUAGCCUGGAUGGAAGAAUUUUUGGCCCUUGAGAUGGAUGGGAUGAUAAAGAAGGCAUCUCUCUUAAAAUUAUCUCUCAUGGUUUCGGGCUGUUUACUUGGAUAUAUGCAUGGAGGCCCGUGCACAUAACUUAAGUUCGCCAGCUUGUCAGGUCUGUAUCUUGUAUAUUCCGCAGCA